rnacentral:tRNA from 1 species
ACUAUUUUGGCAGAAAGAAUGCUCUAGAUUUAGGAUCUAGUUAUAUAGAAAUAUUAUCUAUAAAUAGUA